CGGCGUGGAUGAGGCAUGCAAGUCGAACGAAGUUGGCCCCGAGCUUGCUUGGGGCCCGCUUAGUGGCGGAAGGGUUAGUAAUACAUGGGCAAUCUGCCUUUUACUCGGGAAUAACGGCUGGAAACGGUCGCUAAUGCCCGAUGAGGUGGGACAGGGCAUCCUGUCUUUAUCAAAGUGGGGGAACUUCGGUCCUCACGGUAAAAGAGGAGCCCAUGGGAUAUCAGCUUGUUGGUGUGGUAACGGCGCACCAAGGCUAAGACGUCUAGGCGGACCGAGAGGUUGACCGCCAACACUGGGACUGAGACACUGCCCAGACUCCUACGGGAGGCUGCAGUCGAGAAUCAUUCGCAAUGGGCGAAAGCCUGACGAUGCGACGCCGUGUGAACGAAGAAGGCCUUCGGGUUGUAAAGUUCUUUCGCCUGGGAACAAGAGAGGUUGGCUAAUAUCCAGCCGAUUUGAGGGUACUAGGUAAAGAAGCACCGGCUAACUCCGUGCCAGCAGCUGCGGUAAUACGGAGGGUGCAAGCAUUAAUCGGAUUUAUUGGGCGUAAAGGGCGUCUAGGCGGAAGUUUAAGUCAAGCGUUAAAGACCGGGGCUCAACCCCGGGCAAGCGUUUGAAACUGGAUUUCUUGAGGGUAGACGGGGAAAGCGGAAUUCCACGUGUAGCGGUGGAAUGCGUAGAUAUGUGGAAGAACACCUGUGGCGAAAGCGGCUUUCUAGUUUAUUCCUGACGCUGAAGCGCGAAAGCAAGGGGAGCAAACAGGAUUAGAUACCCUGGUAGUCCUUGCCGUAAACGAUGUACACUAGAUGUAGCUGGAAUCAACCCCGGCUGUGUCGUAGCUAACGCAUUAAGUGUACCGCCUGAAGAGUACGCCCGCAAGGGUGAAACUCAAAAGAAUUGACGGGGGCCCGCACAAGCAGUGGAGCAUGGGGUUUAAUUCGAUGAUACGCGAAGAACCUUACCCAGACUUGACAUGUAGUGGACCGCUCUAGAAAUAGAGUUUCUCGUAAGAGCCGCUACACAGGUGCUGCAUGGCUGUCGUCAGCUCGUGCCGUGAGGUGUUGGGUUAAGUCCCGCAACGAGCGCAACCCCUUAU
rnacentral:rRNA from 1 species